UCGAUGGUGAGCUUUGUUUGUCGUGUUACCAACCCUCCAAUUAAAAAAAUUGUAAGAUAGAAGCUUUGUGGGGAAGCUGCUGGUUGUCUUGGCCCCAUCCAGGUUUCCUGUAUAUUCCAGGUUUUUUCUGGCCUCCCUGACUAUCCAGCUAUAGUAUGAGUGAUGGUAACGCCCAAAUAUAUGUCUAACUAUCAUCUGGCAGCAGCUGUCUUGUAUACAAAUACAGCUGUGGUGGGAGUUCGUCUAUGGGGAAUACACAUGUUGUGUAUUUGUGGGGUUGAAGUGUUCCCAAUGGUCAACUUCAGGCCCAUAGACUCAGGUUUUUUAUGUAAAUAUAAUCAGUCGAAUCGUAGGUACUGUCCAAGGGGAUUAUCACCCCUUGGUUCAGGUCUAUGUCAGAGGGGGUCGCUACCCUUCGGGCAGAGCUCCUAUGGAGCAUUCAGUCUCUCCUAGCAGGUCUUAUAUAUACGCCUGCGGGAUGAAAACAUAAGGCUUAAUGAGUCUUUGGGUUGACCAGAGUUUGAGAGUAUAAUGUAUAUAAUUGGUUCACUUCACCCUGAACCCAUUCUCCCACAAUAAUUUGGUGUGUGUUUUACUUAUUUUCGGGCUGUUCUUUCACCUAACGUGCUUGAAUUAUUAAAGCAAAUUUAUAUAUAACAAUAUAUAAAUUCAAGUUAAUGAGACAACACGUUUGUCACCUUCAAACCUGGUUAUAAUCUCAUAGUAACAGGAUAAGCUUGUCAACAGCCACAAAAAGGCGAUAUCCAAUAGUCCAAAGGUUUCUUUGGGCAUGUGUAAAACCGAAUGAAAGAUCAACUGACCAAUCAUAUGUCAACAACGAACACGCAGAACAAAGGUCAAUGUGAUAAGGGAGUUCACUUUGACAAAUAUCCCAACAAAGAGCAAUGUCUUGUUACCGAGAACGAAAAUUUCCACCCACCCACCCGUUCAUGUUCCUGGUAUCUGGUGCAUUGUAUGGGUACUAGCUAAUGUUAUGCAAGGACUGUUCAAGAACAAUUUGUCAAGAAAGACUAUCGAACAAUUUUCUCAUGGAAAAUUAUCGCUAUGUAAAUACUUAAAUGUUCAAACAAAUAAAUUUUGGUUCGGGGUUGAAGUGUUCCCAAUGGUCAACUUCAGGCCCAUAGACUCAGGUUAUUUAUGUAAAUAUAAUCAGUCGAAUCGUAGGUACUGUCCAAGGGGAUUAUCACCCCUUGGUUCAGGUCUAUGUCAGAGGGGGUCGCUACCCUUCGGGCAGAGCUCCUAUGGAGCAUUCAGUCUCUCCUAGCAGGUCUUAUAUAUACUCCUGCGGGAUGAAAACAUAAGGCUUAAUGAGUCUUUGGGUUGACCAGAGUUUGAGAGUAUAAUGUAUAUAAUUGGUUCACUUCACCCUGAACC